UAGUACAGCCAUAUCCUGUUCGAAACCCUGGCUUUCUUUUGGACACCAAAGUUGAGAAAUAUUGAGCCUUGUUAGAACUAAGAUGAGUAAUUGACUAAGAAACCAUUGGCACUGUAAUGA
rnacentral:rRNA from 1 species